rnacentral:rRNA from 1 species
AUACGUAUGGGGCAGGCGUUAUCCGGAAUUAUUGGGCGUAAAGAGUGCGUAGGUGGUUACCUAAGCGCAAGGUUUAAUCUUGAGGCUCAACCUCAUUCUGCCUUGCGAACUGGGCUACUUGAGUGCUGGAGGGGAAAGCGGAAUUCCCAGUGUAGCGGUGAAAUGCGUAGAUAUUGGGAAGAACACCGGAGGCGAAGGCGGCUUUCUGGACAGUAACUGACACUGAGGCACGAAAGCGUGGGGAGCAAACAGGAUUAGAUACCCUGGGAGUCCACGCCGUAAACGAUGAGCACUAGUUGUUGGUCCCGAAUGGGGUCAGUGACGCAGUUAACGCAAUAAGUGCUCCGCCUGGGGAGUACGGUGGCAACACUAAAACUCAAAGAAAUUGACGGGG